AGGUUAAGUUAAUAAGGGCGCACGGUGAAUGCCUUGGCACUAGGAGCCGAUGAAGGACGGGACUAACGCCGAUAUGCUUUGGGGAGCUGUAAGUGAGCUUUGAUCCAAAGAUUUCCGAAUGGGGGAACCCAGCAUCUUUUAUAGGAUGUUACUGCUGACUGAAUACAUAGGUCAGUAGAGGUAGACGCAGAGAACUGAAACAUCUAAGUACCUGCAGGAAGAGAAAGAAAAAUCGAUUCCCUGAGUAGCGGCGAGCGAAACGGGAAUAGCCCAAACCAGAAAGCUUGCUUUCUGGGGUUGUAGGACUGAACACAUAGAGUCAUAAAUGAUUUUGGUAGGAGAAGCGACCUGGAAAGGUCUGCCGAAGAAGGUAAAAGCCCUGUAUCCGAAACCAAAUUCACUCUGAUCAGUAUCCUGAGUACGGCGGAACACGAGAAAUUCCGUCGGAAUCCGGGAGGACCAUCUCCCAAGGCUAAAUACUCCCUAGUGACCGAUAGUGAACCAGUACCGUGAGGGAAAGGUGAAAAGAACCUCGGAAGAGGAGUGAAAUAGCCCCUGAAACCGUGUGCCUACAAAUAGUUAAAGCCCGUUAAUGGGUGAUAGCGUGCCUUUUGUAGAAUGAACCGGCGAGUUACGAUCCCAUGCGAGGUUAAGUUGAUGAGACGGAGCCGCAGCGAAAGCGAGUCUGAAUAGGGCGAAUGAGUAUGUGGUCGUAGACCCGAAACCAAGUGAUCUACCCAUGUCCAGGUUGAAG
rnacentral:rRNA from 1 species